rnacentral:rRNA from 1 species
ACGCUGGCGGCAGGCCUAACACAUGCAAGUCGAGCGGAAACGACUUAACUGAACUUUCGGGGAACGUUAAGGGCGUCGAGCGGCGGACGGGUGAGUAAUGCCUGGGAAUAUGCCUUAGUGUGGGGGAUAACUAUUGGAAACGAUAGCUAAUACCGCAUAAUGUCUUCGGACCAAAGAGGGGGACCUUCGGGCCUCUCGCGCUAAGAUUAGCCCAGGUGAGAUUAGCUAGUUGGUGAGGUAAGAGCUCACCAAGGCGACGAUCUCUAGCUGGUCUGAGAGGAUGAUCAGCCACACUGGAACUGAGACACGGUCCAGACUCCUACGGGAGGCAGCAGUGGGGAAUAUUGCACAAUGGGCGAAAGCCUGAUGCAGCCAUGCCGCGUGUAUGAAGAAGGCCUUCGGGUUGUAAAGUACUUUCAGUAGGGAGGAAGGUGYWGUAGUUAAUAGCUKCAGCAUUUGACGUUACCUACAGAAGAAGCACCGGCUAACUCCGUGCCAGCAGCCGCGGUAAUACGGAGGGUGCGAGCGUUAAUCGGAAUUACUGGGCGUAAAGCGCAUGCAGGUGGUUCAUUAAGUCAGAUGUGAAAGCCCGGGGCUCAACCUCGGAACCGCAUUUGAAACUGGUGAACUAGAGUGCUGUAGAGGGGGGUAGAAUUUCAGGUGUAGCGGUGAAAUGCGUAGAGAUCUGAAGGAAUACCAGUGGCGAAGGCGGCCCCCUGGACA